rnacentral:lncRNA from 1 species
UAGGCUCUAUUGACAAGCAUAAUAAUAAAAAGACUUUACGGAUAAAUUACCUUGAUUCAAAUUAGUAAGAUUCGUGAAAAAUAUAAUAACUAGAAAUAAAUUAAUUAUGAGACUUUGGUAUUUUGUUUGUGUACAUUUGGGUUAGAUUAUAAUUUUUAUGUUUUUUCUUGAUUUUAUUUUAAUAAAGUAUAAAAUAUGUUUGGUAUGUUUGUUUGGAUUGUGAUUUGUGUGAUUUGUUUGUCGGUAAAGAUGUUUCUCUAGGAUUGAAAAGAUGUAAUUUAGGGGCUAAGAGAAGUAAAAAUAUGCAAAAUAAUAGAAAAUAUGAAAAUGUAAAUAUAAGAUUACGUUAAUCUUGAGAGGAUUUAGUAGUUGUUGGUACUUUGGAAAGUAGUUGAGAGAAAAUAGAAGAUAAGAUAUUAGUGGGCUUUAGUGAUAGCUCCGCUCUUAGGCGACUUAGCGAGAAACAUAAGAUCUAUCACAGUCAAGCUAGUGAACCGGAUAAAACAGCGAAAGCAAGGGAGGAUAACUAUGAACCCUAGAUUUGGAGGUUUAAUCGGUGAAAACUCUAGGGUUGAAGGUAAGGGAGGUUUUAAAUGGUGGAAGGAAGGAUUCACCAAUUAGAUCUGUGGAAAGGAACGAGGAUGUGGUUUUAAUCAGUCAAAAGUGAAGGAGAAGGUGUGAGAAGGCUGAAAAUGGUGUUAAACGAAGUUUCAAUCGGUAGGAUUGAAGGAAAUCCAGGGUUAAACGAACAAAAGGGGAAAACGAUGAAAAGGGAGAAAUAAACCCUAACCUGAAGGAGAUGAAGUGGAUUUGUGAUGGUGAAAGGUGAGAUCUCGAGCGAAUGAAAACUCUAGGGAGACGACGCGACAAUGAGGAAUGCUCUCGUAUUCACGUGAGAAGAAAUAGAGCAAAUGAAGAUGUGAUGAUGCCUCUUGAAUGACUGAAUGCGAGCUAGGUAGUGACGAUGUGGCUCGAGAAUAAUGACUCGUGCAUGGGGGAUGAUGCAGGCCACGGGGCUAAAGCGGAUUGGUGAGAAUGGCGUAUGUUGUUUAGGGGGAGGACUAAGAAACUCAUAAUGGGAAAUGAGAGAACGGAUGGUGUGAGUGGAAGGUGGCUAGAGGAGAUCCUUUGGGAUUCUCUAGCCUUGACUUUCAAGGUGGAAUUGUUCUGGAGUUUUCUCAACAGAAUAACAAUUCAAUAUGCUCAAAAGUGAUUACAAGAGGUGGUGGCAUGUCUAUGUAUAGGAGUAAAAGUCCUUCCUAUCUACACAUGCCUAACACCUUUUACACAUGCUUUAAUAAAAGUAAAGAAAUAUUACACUAAGCUAAUUGGGCUUGGGCCCCGUUAUUAAGACUCCG